AGAGUUUGAUCAUGGCUCAGGAUCAACGCUGGCGGCGUGCCUAAUGCAUGCAAGUCGAGCGGGGUGCUCUUCGGAGCACUUACGCGGCGGACGGGUGCGGAACACGUGGGCAACCUGCCCUGAGGUGGGGGAUAGCCGGUGGAAACACCGGGUAAUUCCGCAUACGGUCACUGGUCGGAGGGCUGGUGAGGAAAGGGUCUUCGGACUCGCCUUAGGAGGGGCCUGCGGCCGAUUAGCUAGACGGUGGGGUAACGGCCUACCGUGGCGAUGAUCGGUAGCUGGUCUGAGAGGACGGCCAGCCACACGGGGACUGAGACACGGCCCCGACUCCUACGGGAGGCAGCAGCAAGGAAUCUUCCGCAAUGGGCGAAAGCCUGACGGAGCAACGCCGCGUGUGGGAUGACGCCUUUCGGGGUGUAAACCACUUUUCUCAGGGAAGAAGCACUGACGGUACCUGAGGAAUAAGGACCGGCUAACUACGUGCCAGCAGCCGCGGUAAUACGUAGGGUCCGAGCGUUGUCCGGAGUUACUGGGCGUAAAGCGCGCGCAGGCGGCGGUAUAAGCAUGGCGUGAAAGCCCCAGGCUCAACCUGGGAGGGUCGUCGUGGACUGUACCGCUUGAGGGCGAUAGGGGCUGGUGGAAUGCCUGGUGUAGUGGUGAAAUGCGUAGAGAUCAGGCGGAACACCCGUGGCGAAGGCGGCCAGCUGGGUCGUCCCUGACGCUGAGGCGCGAAGGCGUGGGGAGCGAACGGGAUUAGAUACCCCAGUAGUCC
rnacentral:rRNA from 1 species